AUUUCAGAGGCUGAAGUCAUCAAGGAGAAAGUAACACCAGUUUCUUUAAAGAAAGAAGUCAUCAAGGAGAAACCUAAACCAGCCCCUAAAAAGAAAGAGGCUGAAGUCCUCAAGGAAAAAGUUACACCUGUUUCUGUAAAGAAAGAAGUUAUCAAGGAGAAACCUAAACCAGCCCCUGAAAAGAAAGAGGCUGAAGUCAUCAAGGAGAAAGUUAAACCGGCUCCUGUAAAGAAAGAGGCUGAAGUCAUUAAAGAGAAACCCAAACCAGCUCCUGAGAAGAAAGAGGCUAAAGUCAUCAAGGAGAAAGUUAAGCCAGCUCCUGUAAAGAAAGAGCCUGAGGUUCAUAAAGAAAAGGCACCUGAACUAGUGCCAGAACCUACAAAGAAAGUUGAGGUUCCAAAGGAAAAGACAAAACCAGUUCUUAAAGAAAAGGAACCCACAAUCACCAAAGAAAAGCCAAAGCCAGCACCAAAGAAAGAAGCUGUAGCCAUCAAAGAAGCUAAAGCAGCCCCUGUGAAGGAAGAGGCUGAAAUUGUCAAAGAGAAAGCUAAACCAACCCCUGUGAAGAAAGAGGCUGAAAUCAUCAAGGAGAAAGCUAAACCAGCUCAUGAGAAGAAAGUGGCUGAAGUCUUCAAGGAGAAAGUUAAGCAAGCGCCUGUAAAGAAAAAACCUGAAGUCUCAAAAGAAAAGUUAUUAGAGCCAACACCUAAAAAAGGUGAGAACUUCCCACAUCUUUUACAAAAUGUACAAAAUACUGUGGUUGUUUUUUUUUGUUGUGUGUGUAUGUGUGUGUGUGUGUGUGUGUGUGUGUGUGUGUGUGUGUGUGUGUGUGUGUGUGUGUGUGUGUGUGUGUGUGUGUGUGUGUGUGUGUGUGUGUGUGUGUGUGUUUGUUUUUUUUUGAGCUACAACUAA
ensembl:lncRNA